AAUGUUCGAGCUCCUCACCCUAUCUCUAAGGCUGAGCCCGGCCACCCUACGGAGGAAACUCAUUUCGGCCGCUUGUAUCCGCGAUCUCAUUCUUUCGGUCAUUACCCAAAGCUCAUGACCAUAGGUGAGGAUUGGGACGUAGAUCGACCGGUAAAUCGAGAGCCUGGCUUUCUGGCUCAGCUCCCUCUUCACCACGACAGAUCAGCUCAGCGUCCGCAUCACUGCAGAUGCUGAACCAAUCCACCUGUCGAUCUCCCGAUCCCUCCUACCCUCACUCGUGAACAAGACCCCGAGAUACUUAAACUCCUCCACUUGAGGUAGGACCUCUCCCCCGACCCGGAGUUGGCAAGCCACCCUUUUCCAGUCGAGAACCAUGGUCUCAGAUUUGGAGGUGCUGAUCCUCAUCCCAGCCGCUUCACACUCGGCCGUGAACCUACCCAGAAAGAGCUGAAGGUCAGAGCUGGAUGAAGCUAUGAACUGAAACUAUGAAUUGUUUAUGUUAAAUUUAUAUUCAAUCUUUCAGCAUUUAGGUACAUUAUGUGCUUUUUGGCCAUCUCUGCAGGCAAGAGUCAUACAACACAAGUCCACAUCUGUCCAAAAGUAAGGAAAGACUCUGAGACACACGUGCGUUUUUUUGAGACAUUACACAAGAACUUGCCACGGAGUGCUCCCUUGAUGUCCAGGGCACCAUGUUACAGAGAGUUUGUCCCCAAUUCUGUCUCCUUGUUACCAAAGUUUCUUCUUGCAUACCGAACACCAGAGACUGUGCGGCUAUCUCCAGUGCAACUACAGGCAGCAUGCAAGGAUUUCUGUGUUGAUGACCUCAGCGAAUCACAGGUGAAAGCAGUAGAGGAGGAGACCAGGGCCCAGAGCUCAUCAUCCAUCUGGUACAGACAAAGAGCAGGAAGACUAACAGCUUCUAAACUAAAACAAGUUUUGCAGAGCAGUCAGUAAAGACCAUCUAGGGCUUUGAUCAAGUCCAUAUGCUACCCAGUAACACAAAAGCCAUGUACAGCAGCAUUAAGAUAUGGCUAUAAUUUCGAGGCAACAGCCAGAAAGCAGUACGAACAUGUCCAGCGUGAACUCCAUGAAGGCUUUUUCCUGUACGGACAAUGGGCUGUGGCUAAACCAAAAAUAGCCAUACAUGGGAGCCUCAUCAGAUGGAGUCGUUUCAUGUGACUGUCAUGGAACCGGGGUGUGUGAAAUCAAGGGUGUGUCCGAAUCCACAGGAAGGAUUCUUAUGAAUACGGGUGUCAUGGUCUGUGCUGAGCUAACACCUGUUUGUGUUGAGUUUCUCUGUGUGCAGGUGGGUGUGUCCGGAGAGCAGCUGUUGUUGAUCUCCUCAUCAGUGGUCAGGGGAUUUAAGGAGUGUCGGGACAACACAUCAGCGCUGGAUGAUUACUCAGUAUUGGGUACCUUCCAUUCAUCUGCCAAACUUCCACCACCAAGCCAGAGACUCACCGAAUCAUCCUGCUCACCAGCCCGUCACUUGCCCCUGACCGCCUGCUCUCCAACCCCCACCUGCCAUCAGUACAACCUGGACUCCGGUGCUCAGCUCCCAGCCAUUUCCUCUGCCUCUCGCCCGACCAACUCAGCCAGCCUGGCCGUGCCCUCCUCUCAAACUCUCUCUAAAUACCUGGAAACCAACUUCAUCAGAACCUCCCGAAUCCCAUUCAACAUCUGCAUCACUCAUCCAACUUUAAUAAAUAAUUUUACUCACCUUCUGCCUGUGUGUGAUUCUGCAUGUCGUGGGUCAAAAGACUUCAACCCAACAUGACAACGGGUCCUCGCCGGUCUUGCAAGACCGGGUCCUUUAAGACCGCUAAAACCGGAAGUCAGCGGCUCUGAAUUCGGACAGUCUAGCCUUCACCUCUACGGUGGCCCGUAGGUCCCGUCACAGCCGUGGCAGCAGCUACACGCAAAGAAAAAAAGCUAAAGCUAGCGAAAAUGGAGCAGGAAUAUUAAGGAGCUAGAGCAGCUUCACAUCCAUCAGCAGCUUUUGUUCACAACCGCUUUCAGGUCAGCAUGCACUGUGCUGCACAUCUGCAUCGGUGCUGGUGAGGUUGUGGGUCUGGAGGAUGAGCCUGAGGAAGAUGUGUGUGGAGGAGGUCAGUGGUGCUCUGUCCUGCAGGAGGUACCAGCAGACCACCACUACUGUUAACAGGCAAGUCAUUUAUGUA